GUGUUCACACAGUGCUAAGGGAACACGCUGACGUGUGUGACAUCAAGAACUCCAGUGCCCACACAGCCCGAGUCCGGAUGGGACGUUUGAAAUCAGGAAGGAGUGUGGGUUGGAUCCACGUUUCUGUUCAUACCAGGCAGGCACAUCGGAAGGCUCACGGUCAGAGGAUGCUGGGACAAACGCCACGAGAGGUUCCUUUUUGUCUGGCUCACCCAGAAGAGAGGCUCCUCUCCUCCCUUCCCUGCAGCACAACGGCCUGGCUGGCACCCAAAGGGCAGCCGGCAUGGGCUGACCUCAGAGGAGCAAGGCGUGUUUGCAGCUCUGCCGCUCACAUCCACAGUGGCCAUGACAACAGGUGCAGCACCAUCCAUUAAAGCCCUGUGUCAUUUCA
ensembl:lncRNA CAMTA1-AS2 CAMTA1 antisense RNA 2